rnacentral:rRNA from 1 species
UACGGAGGAUCCAAGCGUUAUCCGGAUUCAUUGGGUUUAAAGGGUGCGCAGGCGGGUAAAUAAGUCAGAGGUGAAAUCCUACAGCUCAACUGUAGAACUGCCUUUGAUACUGUUUGCCUAGAGUAUAAUUGAAGUGGGCGGAAUGUAGCAUGUAGCGGUGAAAUGCUUAGAUAUGCUACAGAACACCGAUUGCGAAGGCAGCUCACUAAGCUAAAACUGACGCUCAUGCACGAAAGCGUGGGGAUCAAACAGG